rnacentral:misc_RNA from 1 species
GCUUCUCUGGUCAAUCACUGGCUUAUGUGUUACUAGUUUGGCACUUUGUUGCUAGGUGUGCCUUUGGUGUAAGGCACUUGCCUAGUGCCUCCACAAGGUUAAGGUGGGUGACUUCUAACAGGCACAUACUUCAUAGCUUAAGCAUGUAGCCCAAUGCUGAAGAAAGGUGCACAUCACAAAUCUUCACCUCUGGUGAGCUCUUUCGCCAGCAAACGCCACAAUCACUAGACUUGGCAUCUCUUAAUCUAUCAGAUCCAGCAUUGACAAACUGGAACAUUGGCGGAAUCCUCCUGGACUCCACUGCCAGAGUUGCCAGCUGAUAAUCCUUCCAUUUCCAGCAUCCACAUGCCUCAAAUCUAUCCCCUCCUUUGGUCUUCUCUGUUACUCUCUCCCUUGGCUGCUCUAUUUAUGUUCUGUCUGUUUGUCUCCCCUUUUUCUGGCUCUGUUUCUUUUUCCCCGCG